UGGGGAAUCUUGGACAAUGGGCGCAAGCCUGAUCCAGCCAUGCCGCGUGGAUGAUGAAGGCCUUAGGGUUGUAAAAUCCUUUCGUUGGGGACGAUAAUGACGGUACCCAAAGAAGAAGCUCCGGCUAACUUCGUGCCAGCAGCCGCGGUAAUACGAAGGGGGCUAGCGUUGUUCGGAUUUACUGGGCGUAAAGCGCGUGUAGGCGGACUUGUAAGUUGGGGGUGAAAUCCCGAGGCUCAACCUCGGAACUGCCUCCAAAACUACAAAUCUGGACCUAAGUAGAGGCAAGUGGAAUUGCGAGUGUAGAGGUGAAAUUCGUACAUAUUCGCAGGAACACCAGUGGCGAAGGCGACUUGCUGGACUUAUGGUGACGCUGAGACGCGAAAGCGUGGGGAGCAAACAGGAUUAGAUACCCAAGUAGUCCCUGAGCGGGCUGGCAAGGCGCAU
rnacentral:rRNA from 1 species